AAAAAAAAAAAAAAAAAAGAUUGGCCAGGCUGCUUUUGAUGUGUGGUUUGACACCCCUUACCGAGUCAGUUUAGGUGAUAUGGCUGCAGUGUUAAAAAAUGUAGAUGUACAACAUUUGUUAGUGACAGUGACAACAAGACUUAUAAUGCAUUGCCUGUGCUGAGACCAUAUGAUGUAGGUAUAAUUAAAAACAAAUGCACCAACCACGUUUCAAAAGGCCUUGGAACAGCCCUCGGAAACCUACUCUUUGAAGAAUCUAAAUGUGGUAACUAGCUGGGGGGAUUAAAGGCUGGAAGUCUGACACAGGUGAAAGACAUAGUGCAAGAAGUGCAAGCCUGUCAACAGAGGAACUGAGGAGGAAAAUUUGGAGUGGCUUUCAUCAGGCCUCCUCAACAGAUGAAAGGCCUCAACACAAGGCCUGACAGAGAGAACCUCCUGGUAGUUCUGGCAACACGCCAUUGCACAUAAUUCAAGACUUUCAUCUCACAAAGACAGGAGUUCAUCUUUCAUCUCGGAACAUUUUGCCUAACAGGUCCAAGAUGUUUAUAAGCAGUGACCACGGAUGCCCUAUUAAGCAGUUGGCAAGUGGAGGGUGUUUGAUCCCAUUUUUUCUUGGUUGUGUCCCUUGUACAUCUUCAAGAAUGUCAUCAUCAUCAUCUUCUGGUAGAUGACUUGGAGGUAAAGGAGCUUGGUCUAUACUCGGCAG